rnacentral:sRNA from 1 species
GAGAACAGAAAUGGCUUCGUAUGCUCUAUA